rnacentral:rRNA from 1 species
UACGGAGGAUCCAAGCGUUAUCCGGAUUUAUUGGUUUUAAAGGGUGCGUAGGCGGCCAAUUAAGUCAGGGGUGAAAGACGGUAGCUUAACUAUCGCAGUGCCUUUGAUACUGAUUGGCUUGAAUACACUAGAGGUAGGCGGAAUGUGACAAGUAGCGGUGAAAUGCAUAGAUAUGUCACAGAACACCAAUUGCGAAGGCAGCUUACUAUGGUGUGAUUGACGCUGAGGCACGAAAGCGUGGGGAGUCAAACAGG